rnacentral:rRNA from 1 species
AGUGAACGCUGGCGGCAGGCCUAACACAUGCAAGUCGAACGGCAGCACAAGAGAGCUUGCUCUCUGGGUGGCGAGUGGCGGACGGGUGAGGAAUGCAUCGGAAUCUGCCCAUUUGUGGGGGAUAACCUCGGGAAACCGGGACUAAUACCGCAUACGACCUACGGGUGAAAGCAGGGGAUCUUCGGACCUUGCGCAGAUGGAUGAGCCGAUGCCGGAUGAGCUAGUUGGAGGGGUAAAGGCCCACCAAGGCGACGAUCCGUAGCUGGUCUGAGAGGAUGAUCAGCCACACUGGGAGUGAGACACGGCCCAGACUCCUACGGGAGGCAGCAGUGGGGAAUAUUGGACAAUGGGCGCAAGCCUGAUCCAGCCAUGCCGCGCGUGUGAAGACGGCCUUCGGGUUGUAAAGCAGUUUUGUUGGGAAAGAAAAGCAGCCGGUUAAUACCCGGUUGUCAUGACGGUACCCAAAGAAUAAGCACCGGCUAACUUCGUG